rnacentral:rRNA from 1 species
ACUCCUACGGGAGGCAGCAGUGGGGAAUAUUGCACAAUGGGGAAACCCUGAUGCAGCGACGCCGCGUGAACGAAGAAGGUAUUCGUAUCGUAAAGUUCUGUCCUAUGGGAAGAUAAUGACAGUACCAUAGAAGAAAGCUCCGGCUAAAUACGUGCCAGCAGCCGCGGUAAUACGUAUGGAGCGAGCGUUGUCCGGAAUUAUUGGGCG